AUGUGGAGUGUGGGGUUGCAGAGGGAGCACUGUCAGUGUGGACGCACAGGGGCAGAGACAUCCAGAGAAGUGCGAGGCAGGGAACGGCCGCCGUACCCAUGGAGACGCUGCCAUCCUUCGUGUGCCCGGUCUGUGCUGCCUCGCAGAGGGCAGACGUGGCUGUCAGUGCGGUGUCCACACCCAGGUCCGUGCCGGGGGCUGUGCCUGUGCCUUGGGCCUUCAGGGAGGGCUUCCCCAGGCUGGGAGGGGCAGAGCGAGUGGCAGCAGCUGAGGCCUGGGAGCCGGAGCUGGGUGCCGAGCCGAGGAGACGCGGGCGGCCCUGUGCAGCGCGGCACGAGUGGAGGCCGUGGCUGCCUGGAGGCCAGGGCGUCUCGGGGCCGGGCCUUGGGCUGGGGCUGCCCCCCCCCCAGCCAGUGGUCUCCAGGUCUGAGGCCCAAGGGGCCUCCUUCUGACUUGGUUUUUGUCCUCCUGGAGCCGCCCGACCCUCCCUCGGACCGAGGCCGCCCCGGACGGUGGCCUGUGCCCUUCACCGCUCUGCUGCGGCCGAGGGCCUGGCACUGUACUCUGGCCAGGGUCGUGGCUCUGGUGGUGGCGACACCUGUGACAGCGUCCUGGAAACAGCGUCUCUGUGUGCACGCAUGCACAUGGGGCCACGGAGAACACCCAGCAACGGUGCAGCAGCUGCCACAAACCCCAAGCCCCAACCCCACCUAUGACGAGACCCACACGGGCUUCUUGAGUGCCAGGUCAGGGAACAAGGCGCCGGUGGUGAGCGCCAGGCGUCGGAGCAGGGCAGGUGCACGGGAACUCCCCCGUGCAAAGUGUGCCGAGUGCAGGCCGCGCUCCUGGAAACCAGACGAGGUUCCCACCGGCUUGCACGUUCUUCUGGGCUGGGGGGGGGGUCCUGUCCCGCAGGAGCCACUUCUUGGCUGUGGUGGUGCGGCUCCUCCCCGGGGAGUGGGCCCCUCUUCCCACAAGGUCAGGGGGUGCUGGGCUUGGGAAAGUCCCUGGAAUCAGCUGUUGAUGAGGAUGUUUAGGUUAUUUUUUUUUCUAAUUUGGGAGACACAAAGAGAGAGAGAUUGA
rnacentral:lncRNA from 1 species